UACGGGGGGGAGCAAGCGUUGUUCGGAUUUACUGGGCGUAAAGGGCGCGUAGGCGGUCAGCACAAGUCAGUUGUGAAAUCUCCGGGCUUAACUCGGAAAGGUCAACUGAUACUGUGCGACUAGAGUGCAGAAGGGGCAACUGGAAUUCUCGGUGUAGCGGUGAAAUGCGCAGAUAUCAGGAGGAACACCGAUGGCGAAGGCAGGUCUCUGGGCCAUAACUGACGCUGAGAAGCGAAAGCAUGGGGAGCGAACAGG
rnacentral:rRNA from 1 species